GGGCGGUUAGUGUAGUGGUUAUNACCCUUCCAAGGUGGAGACACGGGUUCGAUUCUCGUACCGCUCA
rnacentral:tRNA from 1 species